GCUCCGAUGGGUCAAUGGUAGACCGGCCUGAAGGUUUCUGUGUUGUAUAUCUGACUUGGCAGGCAGAUGCGGGUUCGACUCCCGCUUGGAUCA